UCCCGAGUAGCUCAGUGGUAAAGAAUCUGCCUGUAAUGCAGGAGACCCGGAUUCGAGCCCUAGAUUGGGAA
rnacentral:tRNA from 1 species